UUAAGCGACUAAGCGUACACGGUGGAUGCCCUGGCAGUCAGAGGCGAUGAAGGACGUGCUAAUCUGCGAUAAGCGUCGGUAAGGUGAUAUGAACCGUUAUAACCGGCGAUUUCCGAAUGGGGAAACCCAGUGUGUUUCGACACACUAUCAUUAACUGAAUCCAUAGGUUAAUGAGGCGAACCGGGGGAACUGAAACAUCUAAGUACCCCGAGGAAAAGAAAUCAACCGAGAUUCCCCCAGUAGCGGCGAGCGAACGGGGAGCAGCCCAGAGCCUGAAUCAGUGUGUGUGUUAGUGGAAGCGUCUGGAAAGGCGCGCGAUACAGGGUGACAGCCCCGUACACAAAAAUGCACAUAUUGUGAGCUCGAUGAGUAGGGCGGGACACGUGGUAUCCUGUCUGAAUAUGGGGGGACCAUCCUCCAAGGCUAAAUACUCCUGACUGACCGAUAGUGAACCAGUACCGUGAGGGAAAGGCGAAAAGAACCCCGGCGAGGGGAGUGAAAAAGAACCUGAAACCGUGUACGUACAAGCAGUGGGAGCACGCUUAGGCGUGUGACUGCGUACCUUUUGUAUAAUGGGUCAGCGACUUAUAUUCUGUAGCAAGGUUAACCGAAUAGGGGAGCCGAAGGGAAACCGAGUCUUAACUGGGCGUUAAGUUGCAGGGUAUAGACCCGAAACCCGGUGAUCUAGCCAUGGGCAGGUUGAAGGUUGGGUAACACUAACUGGAGGACCGAACCGACUAAUGUUGAAAAAUUAGCGGAUGACUUGUGGCUGGGGGUGAAAGGCCAAUCAAACCGGGAGAUAGCUGGUUCUCCCCGAAAGCUAUUUAGGUAGCGCCUCGUGAACUCAUCUCCGGGGGUAGAGCACUGUUUCGGCAAGGGGGUCAUCCCGACUUACCAACCCGAUGCAAACUGCGAAUACCGGAGAAUGUUAUCACGGGAGACACACGGCGGGUGCUAACGUCCGUCGUGAAGAGGGAAACAACCCAGACCGCCAGCUAAGGUCCCAAAGUCAUGGUUAAGUGGGAAACGAUGUGGGAAGGCCCAGACAGCCAGGAUGUUGGCUUAGAAGCAGCCAUCAUUUAAAGAAAGCGUAAUAGCUCACUGGUCGAGUCGGCCUGCGCGGAAGAUGUAACGGGGCUAAACCAUGCACCGAAGCUGCGGCAGCGACGCUUAUGCGUUGUUGGGUAGGGGAGCGUUCUGUAAGCCUGUGAAGGUGUGCUGUGAGGCAUGCUGGAGGUAUCAGAAGUGCGAAUGCUGACAUAAGUAACGAUAAAGCGGGUGAAAAGCCCGCUCGCCGGAAGACCAAGGGUUCCUGUCCAACGUUAAUCGGGGCAGGGUGAGUCGACCCCUAAGGCGAGGCCGAAAGGCGUAGUCGAUGGGAAACAGGUUAAUAUUCCUGUACUUGGUGUUACUGCGAAGGGGGGACGGAGAAGGCUAUGUUGGCCGGGCGACGGUUGUCCCGGUUUAAGCGUGUAGGCUGGUUUUCCAGGCAAAUCCGGAAAAUCAAGGCUGAGGCGUGAUGACGAGGCACUACGGUGCUGAAGCAACAAAUGCCCUGCUUCCAGGAAAAGCCUCUAAGCAUCAGGUAACAUCAAAUCGUACCCCAAACCGACACAGGUGGUCAGGUAGAGAAUACCAAGGCGCUUGAGAGAACUCGGGUGAAGGAACUAGGCAAAAUGGUGCCGUAACUUCGGGAGAAGGCACGCUGAUAUGUAGGUGAAGUCCCUUGCGGAUGGAGCUGAAAUCAGUCGAAGAUACCAGCUGGCUGCAACUGUUUAUUAAAAACACAGCACUGUGCAAACACGAAAGUGGACGUAUACGGUGUGACGCCUGCCCGGUGCCGGAAGGUUAAUUGAUGGGGUCAGCGCAAGCGAAGCUCUUGAUCGAAGCCCCGGUAAACGGCGGCCGUAACUAUAACGGUCCUAAGGUAGCGAAAUUCCUUGUCGGGUAAGUUCCGACCUGCACGAAUGGCGUAAUGAUGGCCAGGCUGUCUCCACCCGAGACUCAGUGAAAUUGAACUCGCUGUGAAGAUGCAGUGUACCCGCGGCAAGACGGAAAGACCCCGUGAACCUUUACUAUAGCUUGACACUGAACAUUGAGCCUUGAUGUGUAGGAUAGGUGGGAGGCUUUGAAGUGUGGACGCCAGUCUGCAUGGAGCCGACCUUGAAAUACCACCCUUUAAUGUUUGAUGUUCUAACGUUGACCCGUAAUCCGGGUUGCGGACAGUGUCUGGUGGGUAGUUUGACUGGGGCGGUCUCCUCCUAAAGAGUAACGGAGGAGCACGAAGGUUGGCUAAUCCUGGUCGGACAUCAGGAGGUUAGUGCAAUGGCAUAAGCCAGCUUGACUGCGAGCGUGACGGCGCGAGCAGGUGCGAAAGCAGGUCAUAGUGAUCCGGUGGUUCUGAAUGGAAGGGCCAUCGCUCAACGGAUAAAAGGUACUCCGGGGAUAACAGGCUGAUACCGCCCAAGAGUUCAUAUCGACGGCGGUGUUUGGCACCUCGAUGUCGGCUCAUCACAUCCUGGGGCUGAAGUAGGUCCCAAGGGUAUGGCUGUUCGCCAUUUAAAGUGGUACGCGAGCUGGGUUUAGAACGUCGUGAGACAGUUCGGUCCCUAUCUGCCGUGGGCGCUGGAGAACUGAGGGGGGCUGCUCCUAGUACGAGAGGACCGGAGUGGACGCAUCACUGGUGUUCGGGUUGUCAUGCCAAUGGCACUGCCCGGUAGCUAAAUGCGGAAGAGAUAAGUGCUGAAAGCAUCUAAGCACGAAACUUGCCCCGAGAUGAGUUCUCCCUGACCCUUUAAGGGUCCUGAAGGAACGUUGAAGACGACGACGUUGAUAGGCCGGGUGUGUAAGCGCAGCGAUGCGUUGAGCUAACCGGUACUAAUGAACCGUGAGGCUUAACCUU
rnacentral:rRNA from 1 species